UUCUUGGUCAUGUUAAUCACUGGAGAGAUCUACCAGCUGAUCAACUUCGCCUCCGCUGCCCGUUGGUUUUUCAUCGCCUGGACAACCUUGGGGCUGCUCAUUCAUCGAUACCACUUCCCGCUUCACCCGAGACCUUUCAAGACCCCUGGAACACAGAGAUAAGCUUUGCUCUCACACUGACCGGGGUCCCAGUUUACUACGUGACCAUCUACCCAAAAAAUGUAGCCAAAAAAUGGAGACGUGCCUUAGACUACUGCACCAAGCAGCUGCAGAUCCUUCUAGA